rnacentral:misc_RNA from 1 species
GUAUUAGAUUAAAGGCACAAAGGCCAAUAAAGACAUUCUGUUACAUUCUUGUGGGGUAUAUAAAAUCGUAGACUAGAACACAAGGAAAGCUGGCUUUCGCACAACAGAUCCUCAAUCCGAGUUGCCUCGAGAAUUGUUCAGGUCUACAAAAAGUGCACAGGUGGUAAAAAUGGUGCCAGGCGUGCACAUGCUCCGAAAAGCCAGCAACAACCCAACCAAAUUUAUUCAAUAAUGAUCCUUCCGCAGGUUCACCUACGGAAA